rnacentral:lncRNA from 1 species
AGCUCACCUGUUGUAGGUGUCUCCUAAACAUUUAUUAAAAUAAUGGCAGGGAGUUCCCAUUGUGGCGCAGCAGAAACAAAUCCCACUAGUAACCAUGAGGUGGUGGGUUCAAUCCCUGGUCUCACUCAGUGGGUUAAGGAUCUGGCGUUGCCGUGAGCUGUGGUGUAGGUUGCAGACCAGCCUCAGAUCCCACAUUGCUGUGGCUCUGGUGUAGGCCAGUGGCUCUCUGAUUUGACCCCUAGCCUGGGAACCUCCAAAUGCUGCAGGUGCAGCCCUAAAAGGCAAAAUAAUAAUAAUAAUAAUAACAAUGUAAUAAUAAUAAUAAUAAUGGCAGAACAUGGGCUAGAGAGUCCUAAUAAAGUAUUGAAUUUUUUUUUUCAGAAAAUGUCUUGAUGCAGACCAUAAAAAUGCUAGUCAUAAAACAGUAACACUUGAGUCCUCACUAUGCAUCAGGCACCAUUACUCAGUGUCUUAAAGCAGUGUUUUUCCAAGCCUGGUACCCAGACCAGCAACUUGAGCAUUGCCUGAGAACUCAUUAAGAAUGCAAAUUCUCAGAGUUCCCUGGUGGCUCAGCAGGUUAAAGAUCCAGCAUUGUCACUACUGUGGUUCAGGUCACUGCUGAGGUAAGGGUUUGAUCCCUGGCCCAGGAAUUUCCACAUGCUGUAGACAUAGCCAAAAAUAAAUAAAUAAAUAAAUAAAAGAAAGCAAAUUCUCUAGCUCUACACCAGAGCUACUGAAGCAAAAUUUUGAGAAUGAACCCAGCAAUUUGUCUUAACACUUUUUAGAUGAUUCUGAUGCGUGCCAAGUUUUUAAGAACCACUGCUUUUAUAUGUACUCUCUCACGUGGUCCUCAUAACCCAAUAAAGUGAAACUCUUGUGAAACUAUUAUCAAUCUCAUAUUCCUGAGGAUGAAACCAAGGCAUAGGAGGUUGAAUAUUUUUCUAAAGAUAGUUCCACUCCCAAGAGCCAAAGUCAGGUGGUCUGAUCCGGAGGCCACCGUGGCUCCUGCACAGUGUCUUCUGAUGUGUUUGGGGUCACAUCAGCUCUGAGGCUGCCCUGCCCAACAUGGUAUGUGUUCAUUUAAGUUUAAAUUAAUUAAGGUUAACUAAAUAAACUUAACUAAAUAAAUUUGAAACCCAUUUCCUCAGCAGUACUUUGAAGUGCCCAGUAGCCUCAGUGGCUAGUCACUAAUGGCUAGAGUUUGGGACAGUACCCGUGAAAAUGUCAAUCAUCACAGAAAGAUCUCUUGGAAACUGCUGCUUUAAGGCAUUCAGGUUACUGGUUUUGCUCGUAAUUGCACAUACAAUUGAGGCUUCUUCCUGGAGAGUUCUUCAACUGGAGAACUCAUGAAGAUAGUAAAAGGAUUAAUUGAGAGUGACAGACCAUAAAGUUUCCCAAACUUAGUAUCUCUCGCUUCUUAGAUAAUAAGAACAUGUAUGACGUCCUUGCUGUUUGCUGGACACUUUGUGUGUUUAUAUACAAUAUUUCGUUUAAUAUUUAUAUCAGUCCUAUAGGAUAGGAACUAUUAGAGCUACUUUUUCAGGUAAGUAGAGAUUCAGCAACUUGCCUAAAGUCAUGAGUUUAUUAUUAGUCUGUAAUUUCUCCCAGUUAAGAACCCAGUAGUACCUCUGGGUUAACUAUAAGAGUACCCCUUCUGGAAUAUUACUCAGCCAUAAAAGGGAAUGAAAUAAUGGCAUUUGUAUCAACAUGGAGGAACUUAGAAAUUAUGAUGCUAAGUGAAGUUAGAAAAUGAGACACAAAGUCAUAGGCUAUCACUUAUAUGUGCAAUAUUUUAAAAAAGGAUACAAAGAACUUAUUUACAGAACAGAUACUGACUCACAGACUUUGAAAUACAGUGUGGUUUCCAAAGGAGAUAGAUAGUGGAGGGGUAAUGGGCUAGGGGUUUGGGACGGAAAUGCUGUAAAAUUGGGUUGUGAUGAUUGUUGUACAACCAUAAAUAAAAUCCAUUGGGUUAAAAGCCCCCCCCCCAAAAAAAA